rnacentral:rRNA from 1 species
UACGUAGGGUGCAAGCGUUGCCCGGAAUUAUUGGGCGUAAAGAGCUCGUAGGCGGUCUGUCGCGUCUGCUGUGAAAACUCAGGGCUUAACCCUGAGCUUGCAGUGGGUACGGGCAGACUAGAGUGCGGUAGGGGAGACUGGAAUUCCUGGUGUAGCGGUGAAAUGCGCAGAUAUCAGGAGGAACACCGGUGGCGAAGGCGGUUCUCUGGGCCUUACCUGACGCUGAGGAGCGAAAGCGUGGGGAGCAAACAGG